UACAGAGGGUGCAAACGUUGCUCGGAAUCACUGGGCGUAAAGGGUGCGUAGGCGGGUCUUUAAGUCAGGGGUGAAAUCCUGGAGCUCAACUCCAGAACUGCCUUUGAUACUGAGGAUCUUGAGUUCGGGAGAGGUGAGUGGAACUGCGAGUGUAGAGGUGAAAUUCGUAGAUAUUCGCAAGAACACCAGUGGCGAAGGCGGCUCACUGGACCGGUAUUGACGCUGAGGUGCGAAAGCGUGGGGAGCAAACAGGG
rnacentral:rRNA from 1 species